GGUUAAGCGACUAAGCGUACACGGUGGAUGCCCUGGCAGUCAGAGGCGAUGAAGGACGUGCUAAUCUGCGAAAAGCGUCGGUAAGGUGAUAUGAACCGUUACAGCCGGCGAUGUCCGAAUGGGGAAACCCAGUGCAAUUCGUUGCACUAUCGUUAACUGAAUACAUAGGUUAACGAGGCGAACCGGGGGAACUGAAACAUCUAAGUACCCCGAGGAAAAGAAAUCAACCGAGAUUCCCCCAGUAGCGGCGAGCGAACGGGGAGCAGCCCAGAGUCUGAAUCAGCUUGUGUGUUAGUGGAACGGUCUGGAAAGUCCGACGGUACAGGGUGAUAGUCCCGUACACCAAAAUGCACAGGUUGUGAACUCGAAGAGUAGGGCGGGACACGUGGUAUCCUGUCUGAAUAUGGGGGGACCAUCCUCCAAGGCUAAAUACUCCUGACUGACCGAUAGUGAACCAGUACCGUGAGGGAAAGGCGAAAAGAACCCCGGCGAGGGGAGUGAAAAAGAACCUGAAACCGUGUACGUACAAGCAGUGGGAGCACCUUCGGGUGUGACUGCGUACCUUUUGUAUAAUGGGUCAGCGACUUAUAUUCUGUAGCAAGGUUAACCGUAUAGGGGAGCCGCAGGGAAACCGAGUCUUAACUGGGCGUUAAGUUGCAGGGUAUAGACCCGAAACCCGGUGAUCUAGCCAUGGGCAGGUUGAAGGUUGGGUAACACUAACUGGAGGACCGAACCGACUAAUGUUGAAAAAUUAGCGGAUGACUUGUGGCUGGGGGUGAAAGGCCAAUCAAACCGGGAGAUAGCUGGUUCUCCCCGAAAGCUAUUUAGGUAGCGCCUCGUGAACUCAUCUUCGGGGGUAGAGCACUGUUUCGGCUAGGGGGUCAUCCCGACUUACCAACCCGAUGCAAACUACGAAUACCGAAGAAUGUUAUCACGGGAGACACACGGCGGGUGCUAACGUCCGUCGUGAAGAGGGAAACAACCCAGACCGCCAGCUAAGGUCCCAAAGUCAUGGUUAAGUGGGAAACGAUGUGGGAAGGCACAGACAGCCAGGAUGUUGGCUUAGAAGCAGCCAUCAUUUAAAGAAAGCGUAAUAGCUCACUGGUCGAGUCGGCCUGCGCGGAAGAUGUAACGGGGCUAAACCAUGCACCGAAGCUGCGGCAGCGACACUAUGUGUUGUUGGGUAGGGGAGCGUUCUGUAAGCCUGCGAAGGUGACCUGUGAGGGUUGCUGGAGGUAUCAGAAGUGCGAAUGCUGACAUAAGUAACGAUAAAGCGGGUGAAAAGCCCGCUCGCCGGAAGACCAAGGGUUCCUGUCCAACGUUAAUCGGGGCAGGGUGAGUCGACCCCUAAGGCGAGGCCGAAAGGCGUAGUCGAUGGGAAACAGGUUAAUAUUCCUGUACUUGGUGUUACUGCGAAGGGGGGACGGAGAAGGCUAUGUUAGCCGGGCGACGGUUGUCCCGGUUUAAGCAUGUAGGCUGGUUAUCCAGGCAAAUCCGGAUAAUCAAGGCUGAGGUGUGAUGACGAGGCACUACGGUGCUGAAGUAACAAAUGCCCUGCUUCCAGGAAAAGCCUCUAAGCAUCAGGUAACAUCAAAUCGUACCCCAAACCGACACAGGUGGUCAGGUAGAGAAUACCAAGGCGCUUGAGAGAACUCGGGUGAAGGAACUAGGCAAAAUGGUGCCGUAACUUCGGGAGAAGGCACGCUGGUGUGUAGGUGAAGUCCCUGCGGAUGGAGCUGAGACCAGUCGAAGAUACCAGCUGGCUGCAACUGUUUAUUAAAAACACAGCACUGUGCAAACACGAAAGUGGACGUAUACGGUGUGACGCCUGCCCGGUGCCGGAAGGUUAAUUGAUGGGGUUAUCCGUAAGGAGAAGCUCUUGAUCGAAGCCCCGGUAAACGGCGGCCGUAACUAUAACGGUCCUAAGGUAGCGAAAUUCCUUGUCGGGUAAGUUCCGACCUGCACGAAUGGCGUAAUGAUGGCCAGGCUGUCUCCACCCGAGACUCAGUGAAAUUGAACUCGCUGUGAAGAUGCAGUGUACCCGCGGCAAGACGGAAAGACCCCGUGAACCUUUACUAUAGCUUGACACUGAACAUUGAGCCUUGAUGUGUAGGAUAGGUGGGAGGCUUUGAAGCGUGGACGCCAGUCUGCGUGGAGCCAACCUUGAAAUACCACCCUUUAAUGUUUGAUGUUCUAACGUUGGCCCCUGACCGGGGUUGCGGACAGUGUCUGGUGGGUAGUUUGACUGGGGCGGUCUCCUCCCAAAGCGUAACGGAGGAGCACGAAGGUUAGCUAAUCCUGGUCGGACAUCAGGAGGUUAGUGCAAUGGCAUAAGCUAGCUUGACUGCGAGCGUGACGGCGCGAGCAGGUGCGAAAGCAGGUCAUAGUGAUCCGGUGGUUCUGAAUGGAAGGGCCAUCGCUCAACGGAUAAAAGGUACUCCGGGGAUAACAGGCUGAUACCGCCCAAGAGUUCAUAUCGACGGCGGUGUUUGGCACCUCGAUGUCGGCUCAUCACAUCCUGGGGCUGAAGUAGGUCCCAAGGGUAUGGCUGUUCGCCAUUUAAAGUGGUACGCGAGCUGGGUUUAGAACGUCGUGAGACAGUUCGGUCCCUAUCUGCCGUGGGCGCUGGAGAAUUGAGGGGGGCUGCUCCUAGUACGAGAGGACCGGAGUGGACGCAUCACUGGUGUUCGGGUUGUCAUGCCAAUGGCACUGCCCGGUAGCUAAAUGCGGAAGAGAUAAGUGCUGAAAGCAUCUAAGCACGAAACUUGCCCCGAGAUGAGUUCUCCCUGAGACUUUAAGUCUCCUGAAGGAACGUUGAAGACGACGACGUUGAUAGGCCGGGUGUGUAAGCGCAGCGAUGCGUUGAGCUAACCGGUACUAAUGAACCGUGAGGCUUAACCUU
rnacentral:rRNA from 1 species